UACGUAGGGUCCAAGCGUUAUCCGGAAUUACUGGGCGUAAAGCGUGUGUAGGCGGGAGUUUAAGUGCAAUGCGAAAUCUUGUGGCUCAACCAUAUAGACUGUAUUGCAUACUGGACACCUUGAGGAUGGCAGAGGCAAGUGGAAUUUGUAGUGUAGCAGUGAAAUGCGUAGAUAUUACAAGGAACACCAAUGGCGAAGGCAGCUUGGCUGGGCCAUAUCUGACGCUGAGACACGAAAGCGUGGGGAGCGAACAGGA
rnacentral:rRNA from 1 species